rnacentral:pre_miRNA from 1 species
GACUUAAACUGAAAAAGUCAUCAACAACAAAGUUGUAUAAUCCAUCUAGAUCUACAAUUUUUAUUUUGGUCAUUUGUUCAUUCGACAAAGUGAUUUUAACAUUGUUCACAAAAUAUACAUAUCUCUUAUAUGGUUUUAUAAACUAUAAGAGAGAUAUGUAUAUUUUGUGAACAAUGUUACUAUCACUUUGUCGGAUGAAGAAAUGACCAAAAUAAAAGUUAUAGAUAUUGAUGAGUUAUACAACUUUGUUGUUGAUGAGUUUUUUUAGUUGAAAUC